rnacentral:rRNA from 1 species
ACGGGGUGCAGCAGGCGCGAAAACUGCACAAUGUGGGGAACCACGAUGCGGGGAUUCCAAGUGCCUAUGCUUUGCAUAGGCUGUUCUAGUACCUAAAAAGUACCUGAAGUAAGGGCCGGGUAAGACGGGUGCCAGCCGCCGCGGUAAUACCCGCGGCCCGAGUGGUGGUCGCUAUUAUUGAGCCUAAAGCGUUCGUAGCCGGCCUAGUAAAUCCUUGGGUAAAUCGGGCAGCUUAACUGUCCGAAGUCUGAGGAGACUGCUGGGCUUGGGACCGGAGGAAGUCGGAGGUACUCCAAGGGUAGGGGUGAAAUCCUGUAAUCCUUGGGGGACCACCAGUGGCGAAGGCGUCCGACUAAGACGGAUCCGACGGUGAGGGACGAAGCCCUGGGGCGCAAACGGGAUUAGAUACCCCGGUAGUCCAGGGUGUAAACGCUGCAGGCUUGGUGUUGGGGACCCUGCGAGGGUGCCCAGUGCCGUAGAGAAGUUGUUAAGCCUGCCGCUUGGGAGUACG